GACGAACGCUGGCGGCGUGCUUAACACAUGCAAGUCGAACGGAAAGGCCCUGCUUUUGUGGGGUGCUCGAGUGGCGAACGGGUGAGUAACACGUGAGUAACCUGCCCUUGACUUUGGGAUAACUUCAGGAAACUGGGGCUAAUACCGGAUAGGAGCUCCUGCUGCAUGGUGGGGGUUGGAAAGUUUCGGCGGUUGGGGAUGGACUCGCGGCUUAUCAGCUUGUUGGUGGGGUAGUGGCUUACCAAGGCUUUGACGGGUAGCCGGCCUGAGAGGGUGACCGGCGACAAGGGGACUGAGGGAGGGACCAGACGGCAACGGGGGGCAACAGGGGGGAGUAUGGUCCAGGCGUAGGGAGCCGGAGAAAGAAGCGCCGGGUGUGGAAAGACGGCGUGUGGGUAAAGAAAAGCAUCAGGUUGAUACGACGCUGGACUGACGGUAAUGAAAAAAGAAGCACCGGCUAACUUCGUG
rnacentral:rRNA from 1 species